UACAGAGGUGGCAAGCGUUGUUCGGAUUUACUGGGCGUAAAGGGCGCGUAGGCGGCCAGCACAAGUCAGUUGUGAAAUCUCCGAGCUUAACUCGGAAAGGUCAACUGAUACUGUGCGACUAGAGUGCGGAAGGGGCAACUGGAAUUCUCGGUGUAGCGGUGAAAUGCGCAGAUAUCAGGAGGAACACCAAUGGCGAAGGCAGCACUCUGGGACGUGACUGACGCUGAGACGCGAAAGCGUGGGGAGCAAACAGG
rnacentral:rRNA from 1 species